rnacentral:piRNA from 1 species
UGGGAUAAAAGGUAUGUGCAGUGGCAUGC